AUUGAACGCUGGCGGCAGGCCUAACACAUGCAAGUCGAGCGGAUGAAGGGAGCUUGCUCCUGGAUUCAGCGGCGGACGGGUGAGUAAUGCCUAGGAAUCUGCCUGGUAGUGGGGGAUAACGUCCGGAAACGGGCGCUAAUACCGCAUACGUCCUGAGGGAGAAAGUGGGGGAUCUUCGGACCUCACGCUAUCAGAUGAGCCUAGGUCGGAUUAGCUAGUUGGUGGGGUAAAGGCCUACCAAGGCGACGAUCCGUAACUGGUCUGAGAGGAUGAUCAGUCACACUGGAACUGGAGAACGGUCCCGACUCCCAACGGAAGGAAGAGUGGGGAAUAUUGGACAAUGGGCGAAAGCCUGAUCCAGCCAUGCCGCGUGUGUGAAGAAGGUCUUCGGAUUGUAAAGCACUUUAAGUUGGGAGGAAGGGCAGUAAGUUAAUACCUUGCUGUUUUGACGUUACCAACAGAAUAAGCACCGGCUAACUUCGUG
rnacentral:rRNA from 1 species